GACGAACGCUGGCGGCGUGCUUAACACAUGCAAGUCGAACGAAGAGCGACGGAAGCUUGCUUCUCUCAAUCUUAGUGGCGAACGGGUGAGUAACGCGUAAUCAACCUGCCCUUCAGAGGGGGACAACAGUUGGAAACGACUGCUAAUACCGCAUACGAUCUAACCUCGGCAUCGAGGAUAGAUGAAAGGUGGCCGCUACAUGUAAGCUAUCACUGCAGGAGGGGAGUGCGUCUGAUUAGGUAGUUGGAGGGGUAACGGCCCACCAAGGCGAUGGUCAGUAGCACGGCGGCGAGGAGGAACGGCCCGAGUGGGACGGGGACACGGCCCAGAGGCCUACGGAGGGGAGCAGGGGGGAAACGUGCGGAAUGGACGGAAGUCUGACGGCGAAAGGCCGCGUGCGUGAUGACGGCCUCCGGGUUGUAAAGGUCGGUUAAUCGGGAGGAAAGGCCUUCUUGCGAAUAGGGAGAAGGAUUGACGGUACCGGAAGAGGAAGCCACGGCUAACUACGUG
rnacentral:rRNA from 1 species